rnacentral:rRNA from 1 species
GACGAACGCUGGCGGCGUGCUUAACACAUGCAAGUCGAACGAAGUGGCGAACGGGUGAGUAAUGCGUAAUCAACCUGCCCUUCAGAGGGGGACAACAGUUGGAAACGAAUCCUAAUACCUCAUACUGAAGGAGGGGAUUGCGGCGGAUUAGCUGGUCGGAGGGGUCACGGGCCACCAAGGCGAUGAUUAGUAGCCGGUUGGAGAGGAGGAACGGCCACAUGGGGACUGAGACACGGCCCAGACUCCUACGGGAGGGAGCAGUGGGGAAUCAUCCGCAAUGGACGAAAGUCUGACGGAGCAACGCCGGGUGAGUGAUGACGGCCUUCGGGUUUUAAAGCUCUGUUAAUCGGGACGCGGUACCGGAAUAGAAAGCCACGGCUAACUACGUGCCAGCAGCCGCGGUAAUUC